CAUCACUCCCCCUCCCUCGUCUCUCUCGCCGGGCCAUUCCUCUUUGCAGAGCGCGUGCGUCGGAGAGAGACGGAGAUAUUCCUGCUGGUAGAGAGAGUACGUGCCCAGCAGCGGCAGCAGCAGGCGGCAGGAGCAAAAGAGGAAAAAGAGAAAGGCGGUUCGCGGCCGGCGAUGCUGCGGAGGAUGGUGUCCGACCAGGCCCCGGGCUCCGGAGGCAGCGGAGGAGACGACAGGCCCCGCGGCGGCGGCGGCGGCGGCGGGGGCGCGCUGUUCGCCGUGCCGAGGCUGUUCAUCGGGCUCGCGGCCGCCAAGCGCGCGCCGGACGGCGCCGGCGAGUCGGAGCGGAGCCCGACGUCGCCGCUCGACCCCAAGGCGCUGCUGCUCCGCUCGCCGCGCUCGCCGAGGACCUGGGACGCCGAGCCGGUGGGGCUCGGCCUGGUCGUCGACGUCGCCCUCGCGGCCGGCGCCGACUCCGCCGCCGCCAAGACCUGCGUGCUCAGCCCGCGCCUGCGCCUCAGGACGCACGGCUGCGCCGGCUCCACGACCAAGGGCUGCGGCGGGGGCGGCCACUCGCAGCCGGAGCUCGGGGGCAAGACCAUCUCCUGCCCGGCCUCGGCCACACCGCCGGCAUGUCGGUGCCCUGCAGCAGGUUCUUCCACGGGGAUCUGAAGUCUGGUCCGGAGGCCGCUCGGCCGGACGGCGCCCACUCCGGCGCCAAGCGGCAUUGCUUCCACCUCGGCGAGCUCCCGGGGCCGGGGUCCCUGCCGGCGUCGAUCGCCGGCGGGGCACGGCGGUUCUUCGGGUCCGUCUCGGCGAGCGAGGUGGAGCAGUCGGAGGACUACACCUGCAUCAUUGCCCGCGGCCCCAACCCCAAGACGACCCACAUCUUCGGGGACUGCAUUCUUGAGCCCCAGACGACGGUCGGGAAGAGCGACGAGGCCGCCAUGGAACCCAAGGACGGAGCUUCGGCUAAGUCCUACCUGGUGGUCAAGCGCGACACCGAGGCCGCCGCCGGCCCCGGCGAGGACUUCCUGAGCUCCUGCUUCACUUGCACGAAGAAGCUGGAAGGGAACGACAUUUACAUCUACCGCGGCGAGAAGGCAUUCUGCAGCGCCGAGUGCCGGGACCAAGAGAUCAUGAUCGAAGAGGAAGCCGAGAACAGCAUGGCCAUCGGAGGCUCCCCUCGCUCCUCCUGCUCGUCCCUGCACGAGGACAUCUUCAUGGCGGGCAUGAUGGUGGCGACAUGACCCGCCGCGACGAUGGCCCGACCGAGACGCCGUCUUCUUCGCCUCGACAAGCACGCACGCACUCAAUUUUUCCCCUUGCUAGCUACAACCAGGUGAUGGGGGGUUACUCGCAGGGAUCUGGGUUUUUUUUUCCUUUAGGAACGAGAUGAAAAAAAAGAGGUGGCCUGCCUGCUUGGCCUUUGGUCCUGUAGUUUUGAUCUUAAGGCUGCCUGCGUGCAUGCAGGCCAGAGCCACCCAUCCUUCUUUCUUCUUCUUCUUUUUUCUUUUGCUCCUGCUGGCAGCAGUGACCAUGUCUGCACAUUUGCUACUACCACACCACCGUGUGUGUGUGAGAGAGAUAAUGACAUUGAGCUGCUUUGCUUUGGGUCA